UACAGAGGUCUCAAGCGUUGUUCGGAUUCAUUGGGCGUAAAGGGCGCGUAGGCGGCGGGGUAAGUCGGGUGUGAAAUCUCAGAGCUCAACUCUGAAACUGCACUCGAUACUGCUCUGCUUGAGGACUGGAGAGGAGACUGGAAUUCACGGUGUAGCAGUGAAAUGCGUAGAUAUCGUGAGGAAGACCAGUGGCGAAGGCGGGCCUCUGGACCAGUCUGACGCUGAGGCGCGAA
rnacentral:rRNA from 1 species